GACGAACGCUGGCGGCGUGCCUAAUACAUGCAAGUCGAACGAGAGCGACCGGUGCUUGCACUGGUCAAUCUAGUGGCGAACGGGUGAGUAACACGUGGGUAACCUGCCCAUCAGAGGGGGAUAACAUUCGGAAACGGAUGCUAAAACCGCAUAGGUCUUCGAACCGCACGGUUUGAAGAGGAAAAGAGGCGCAAGCUUCUGCUGAUGGAUGGACCCGCGGUGCAUUAGCUAGUUGGUGAGGUAACGGCUCACCAAGGCCGUGAUGCAUAGCCGACCUGAGAGAGUGAUCGGCCACAUUGGGACUGAGACACGGCCCAAACUCCUACGGGAGGCAGCAGUAGGGAAUCUUCCGCAAUGGACGCAAGUCUGACGGAGCAACGCCGCGUGAGUGAAGAAGGUUUUCGGAUCGUAAAACUCUGUUGUUAGAGAAGAAUAAGUGCUAGAGUAACUGUUAGCGCCUUGACGGUAUCUAACCAGAAAGCCACGGCUAACUACGUG
rnacentral:rRNA from 1 species